AACUGUGAGCGUGCGGGCGAUACGGGCAGACUUGAGUACUGCAGGGGAGACUGGAAUUCCUGGCGUAGCGGUGGAAUGCGCAGAUAUCAGGAGGAACACCGGUGGCGAAGGCGGGUCUCUGGGCAGUAACUGACGCUGAGGAGCGAAAGCGUGGGGAGCGAACAGGAUUAGAUACCCUGGUAGUCCACGCCGUAAACGGUGGGUACUAGGUGUGGGUUUCCUUUCUUGGGAUCCGUGCCGUAGCUAACGCAUUAAGUACCCCGCCUGGGGAGUACGGCCGCAAGGCUAAAACUCAAAGAAAUUGACGGGGGCCCGCACAAGCGGCGGAGCAUGUGGUUUAAUUCGAUGCAACGCGAAGAACCGUACCUGGGUUUGACAUGCACAGGACGCCGGCAGAGAUGUCGGUUCCCCUGUGGCCUGUGUGCAGGUGGUGCAUGGCUGUCGUCAGCUCGUGUCGUGAGAUGUUGGGUUAAGUCCCGCAACGAGCGCAACCCUUGUCUCAUGUUGCCAGCGGGUAAUGCCGGGGACUCGUGAGAGACUGCCGGGGUCAACUCGGAGGAAGGUGGGGAUGACGUCAAGUCAUCAUGCCCCUUAUGUCCAG
rnacentral:rRNA from 1 species